UACGUAGGUCACAAGCGUUAUCCGGAAUCAUUGGGCGUAAAGAGCGUGUAGGCGGCCAGAUAAGUCCGCUGUGAAAUCUCGAGGCUCAACUUCGAGCUGUCGGUGGAAACUAUCUGGCUAGAGUCCGGAAGAGGAGAAUGGAAUUCCUGGUGUAGCGGUGAAAUGCGCAGAUAUCAGGAGGAACACCGGUGGCGAAGGCGGUUCUCUGGGCCUGUACUGACGCUGAGGAACGAAAGCGUGGGGAGCGAACAGG
rnacentral:rRNA from 1 species